GGAGAGUUGGCCGAGCGGUCCAAGGCGGCGGCUUGCUACACCGCAGCAGGGGUGCGACACCUCUGCCGAGGGUUCGAAUCCCUCACUCUCCUCCA
rnacentral:tRNA from 1 species